AAGCAAUUAUGUUGUAUUCUAUUCCCAAUAGUAUCAUUUCGACCCGUAGGAAGUGCGCACAGAAGCAAUGCAAAAAUACCUAGCCCUACUUCUAGUACUGACCGUUGCGGCAUGUUACUGCGCGGAAAGCAACUACAAUUGUCCGGCUGUUAACGACCCGAAUCGUGUCAUUCAUUACCCACACCCAACGGAUUGCGGAAAAUUCCAGACAUGCAAUUGGGGCAAGCUAGUGGUAAUGAGCUGCCCCGCCGGUCUGCACUGGAAUGACGAGAGGAAGUACUGUGAUUAUCCGGAGAAUACUCGGUGUGAUCAUUCAUAGAUUCGAGGAUCUUCCACAUAAAGACUAAAAAGUAGUCCACGCGUGAAGGUGAAGGUGGGAAUCGUCAACGUUGAAGCAGCUGCCGAUUGUUGUGCCUUCGCAGAAUUAUAUUCUUUGUUGAAAAUUUAAUUUUGGUUAAAAUUUCAUUGGUUUUCGAUUCAAUAAAAUCAUAACUUUUUAUCAGCA